CCUACGGGGCGCAGCAGUGAGGAAUAUUGGUCAAUGGACGAGAGUCUGAACCAGCCAAGUAGCGUGAAGGAUGACUGCCCUAUGGGUUGUAAACUUCUUUUAUAUGGGAAUAAAAUGUUCCACGUGUGGGAUUUUGUAUGUACCAUAUGAAUAAGGAUCGGCUAACUCCGUGCCAGCAGCCGCGGUAAUACGGAGGAUCCGAGCGUUAUCCGGAUUUAUUGGGUUUAAAGGGAGAGUAGGUGGAUUGUUAAGUCAGUUGUGAAAGUUUGCGGCUCAACCGUAAAAUUGCAGUUGAAACUGGCAGUCUUGAGUACAGUAGAGGUGGGCGGAAUUCGUGGUGUAGCGGUGAAAUGCUUAGAUAUCAUGAAGAACUCCGAUUGCGAAGGCAGUUCACUGGACUGCAACUGACACUGAGGCUCGAAAGUGUGGGUAUCAAACAGGAUUAGAUACCCUAGUAGUC
rnacentral:rRNA from 1 species